UACGUGAGGGGCGAACGUUGUUCGGUGUCACUGGGCUUAAAGGGCGCGUAGGUGGUUGCGUAAGUAACGUGUGAAAUACCUCGGCUUACCCGGGGAAUUGCAUGUUAUACUGCGUGGCUUGAGGAUCAGAGGGGAAUGGGGAACUCCAGGUGUAGCGGUGAAAUGCGCAGAUAUCUGGGGGAAGGCCGGCGGCGAAGGCGCCAUUCUGGCUGAUUCCUGACACUGAGGCGCGAAAGCGUGGGGAGCAAACAGG
rnacentral:rRNA from 1 species